rnacentral:rRNA from 1 species
UACGUAGGGCGCAAGCGUUGUCCGGAAUACUGGGCGUAAAGCGUGCGCAGGCGGUGAUGUAAGACAGUUGUGAAAUCCCCGGGCUCAACCUGGGAACUGCAUCUGUGACUGCAUCGCUGGAGUACGGUAGAGGGGGAUGGAAUUCCGCGUGUAGCAGUGAAAUGCGUAGAUAUGCGGAGGAACACCGAUGGCGAAGGCAAUCCCCUGGACCUGUACUGACGCUCAUGCACGAAAGCGUGGGGAGCAAACAGG